rnacentral:rRNA from 1 species
CCUACGGGAGACAGCAGUGAGGAAUAUUGGUCAAUGGGCGUAAGCCUGAACCAGCCAAGUCGCGUGAGGGAUGAAGGUUCUAUGGAUCGUAAACCUCUUUUAUAAGGGAAUAAAGUGUGGGACGUGUCCUGUUUUGUAUGUACCUUAUGAAUCAGGAUCGGCUAACUCCGUGCCAGCAGCCGCGGUAAUACGGAGGCUCCGAGCGUUAUCCGGAUUUAUUGGGUUUAAAGGGUGCGUAGGCGGCCUUUUAAGUCAGCGGUGAAAGUCUGUGGCUCAACCAUAGAAUUGCCGUUGAAACUGGGAGUCUUGAGUAUGUUAGAGGCAGGCGGAAUGCGUGGUGUAGCGGUGAAAUGCUUAGAUAUCACGCAGAACCCCGAUUGCGAAGGCAGCCUGCCAAGCCAUGACUGACGCUGAUGCAUGAAAGCGUGGGGAUCAAACAGGAUUAGAUACCUUUGUAGUC